ensembl:misc_RNA Metazoa_SRP Metazoan signal recognition particle RNA
GCCAGGCGUGGUGGCUCAUGUCUGUAAUCCCAGCACUUUAGGAGGCUGAGGCGGGUGGAUCACCUGAGGUCAGGAGUUCUAGACCAGCCUGGCCAACAUGGUGAAACCCCGUCUCUA